rnacentral:rRNA from 1 species
AGAACGAACGCUGGCGGCAGGCUUAACACAUGCAAGUCGAACGCCCCGCAAGGGGGAGUGGCAGACGGGUGAGUAACGCGUGGGAAUCUACCCAGAACUUCGGAACAACUGAGGGAAACUUCAGCUAAUACCGGAUACGCCCUACGGGGGAAAGAUUUAUCGGUUCUGGAUGAGCCCGCGUUGGAUUAGCUAGUUGGUGGGGUAAUGGCCUACCAAGGCGACGAUCCAUAGCUGGUCUGAGAGGAUGAUCAGCCACACUGGGACUGAGACACGGCCCAGACUCCUACGGGAGGCAGCAGUGGGGAAUAUUGGACAAUGGGCGAAAGCCUGAUCCAGCCAUGCCGCGUGAGUGAUGAAGGCCUUAGGGUUGUAAAGCUCUUUCAGUAGGGAAGAUAAUGACGGUACUACAGAAGAAGCCCGGCUAACUUCGCGCCAGCAGCCGC